rnacentral:rRNA from 1 species
UACGAAGGGGGCUAGCGUUGUUCGGAAUUACUGGGCGUAAAGCGUGCGCAGGCGGUUCGUUGUGUCGGUGGUGAAAGCCCCGGGCUUAACCUGGGAAUGGCCAUGGAAACUGGCGAACUGGAGUGUGGCAGAGGGGGGUGGAUUCCACGUGUAGCGGUGAAAUGCGCAGAUAUCAGGAGGAACACCGGAUGGCGGAAAGGCCAGGUCUCGUGGGCAUUGAACUGACGCUGGAGGAGCUGAAAGCAUGGGGAGCGAACAGG